UACAGAGGUGGCAAGCGUUGUUCGGAAUUACUGGGCGUAAAGGGCGCGUAGGCGGCCUUCUAAGUCAGACGUGAAAUCCCCCGGCUUAACCUGGGAACUGCGUCUGAUACUGGGAGGCUUGAGUAUGGGGAGAGGGAUGUAGAAUUCCAGGUGUAGCGGUGAAAUGCGUAGAGAUGUGGAGGAACACCGAUGGCGAAGGCAGCCUUCUGGGCCAACACUGACGCUCAUGCACGAAAGCGUGGGGAGCAAACAGG
rnacentral:rRNA from 1 species